AUGAAACGUCCAUGGUGGCUUGACACUAUCGACACGCAGGUGUUGCAUCUAGAGGUUGAUAUUGGGUUGUGCAUUCGCCGGCAUAUUGUUGUAUGGCUGCCUUUUUUUAGACAAACAGGGAGGUGUAAAACUAUUGCUGAUAUGUGGGAUGGAUCACAACUGAAGCUAACAUUUAGGAGGAACUUUGAUGAUUGGCUCAUGGAGCUGUGGUGCCAGCUGAAGGAGAUUGCUAGCAGUGUUACAUACUCUGAUGGCACAGACUCUUUGGUAUGGCAGUUGGAGAGUAAUGGUAAUUAUUCCACUAGCUCCCUGUACCAUGUUAUCAACUUGGGGGGUACAGCCAGUUCAUAUACCUGCAGUCUGGAAACUCAAGGUCCCUCCAAAAAUCCAUUUCUUCCUCUGGUUGUUCUCUCAUAA
rnacentral:rRNA from 1 species